GGGGAUGAUCGGUUUCGACAUUGCCUGCAAAACGAUGAGAAGCGGGUCGAGAAUGCAGCCUUAUCUCGUUAACGAUGACUGCAAACUAUAAGUGCCAAUUCAAAGCGCACUGACUUCGCCCUCGCUGCCUAAGCGAGCGCACUAAAGAAGUCCGUCAGAUCGGGAAUGCUCUCUACCCGAAUCCUGGCGCAAUUUAGAGAGAUUGCUGCGUAGUUACGCCUGAGGGCUACGUGGGACUUGCACUCUGGCUGGGCUUGUUGAUCUAGGUGCUUGUGGCAAAGAUCAGAGCCGAGUAGAACGUCUGCACAAGCUACACCCGUAGAAGGCAUGGAAUUACAGCAGUGGACGGGGGUUCAAUUCCCCCCAUCUCCACCA
rnacentral:tmRNA from 2 species